UACGGAGGGUGCAAGCGGUGGCCGGAUUUAUUGGGUUUAAAGGGUGCGUAGGCGGGAGACUAAGUCAGAGGUGAAGGCCCACAGCUCAACUGUGGAACUGCCAUUGAUACUGGUUUUCUUGAGUAUAGUUGAGGCAGGCGGAAUUUACGAUGUAGCGGUGAAAUGCAUAGAUAUCGUAAAGAACACCUAUAGCGAAGGCAGCUUGCUAAACUAUAACUGACGCUGAGGCACGAAAGCAUGGGUAGCGAACAGG
rnacentral:misc_RNA from 1 species